GACGAACGCUGGCGGCGUGCUUAACACAUGCAAGUCGAACGGAAAGGCCUUUUCGGAGGUACUCGAGUGGCGAACGGGUGAGUAACACGUGGGUGAUCUGCCCUGCACUCUGGGAUAAGCCUGGGAAACUGGGUCUAAUACCGGAUAGGACCGCACUUUAGUGUGUGUGGUGGAAAGUUUUUUCGGUGUAGGAUGAGCCCGCGGCCUAUCAGCUUGUUGGUGGGGUAAUGGCCUACCAAGGCGGCGACGGGUAGCCGGACUGAGAGGUUGGUCGGCCACAUUGGGACUGAGAUACGGCCCAGACUCCUACGGGAGGCAGCAGUAGGGAAUAUUGCACAAUGGGCGCAAGCCUGAUGCAGCGACGCCGCGUGGGGGAUGACGGCCUUCGGGUUGUAAACUCCUUUCGCCAGGGACGAAGCGUUUUGUGACGGUACCUGGAGAAGAAGCACCGGCUAACUACGUG
rnacentral:rRNA from 1 species